GAUGAACGCUGGCGGCGUGCCUAAUACAUGCAAGUCGAGCGAACAGACGAGGAGCUUGCUCCUUUGACGUUAGCGGCGGACGGGUGAGUAACACGUGGGUAACCUACCUAUAAGACUGGGAUAACUUCGGGAAACCGGAGCUAAUACCGGAUAAUAUUUCGAACCGCAUGGUUCGAUAGUGAAAGAUGGCUCUGCUAUCACUUAUAGAUGGACCUGCGCCGUAUUAGCUAGUUGGUAAGGUAACGGCUUACCAAGGCAACGAUACGUAGCCGAACUGAGAGGGUGAUCGGCCACACUGGAACUGAGACACGGUCCAGACUCCUACGGGAGGCAGCAGUAGGGAAUCUUCCGCAAUGGGCGAAAGCCUGACGGAGCAACGCCGCGUGAGUGAUGAAGGUCUUCGGAUCGUAAAACUCUGUUAUUAGGGAAGAACAAACGUGUAAGUAACUGUGCACGUCUUGACGGUACCUAAUCAGAAAGCCACGGCUAACUACGUG
rnacentral:rRNA from 1 species